rnacentral:snRNA from 1 species
GUGCUUGUCUCAGCAGCACGUAAACAAUAAUGUAGAUCAUAGGGAGAUUAGCACAGCCCCUGCACAGGGAUGGCAUGCAAAUUGGUGAAGCAUCCCAUAUAACU